UGGACGGCCCAUUGAAAUAUGGUUCGAUUUCGAACCAUGACGUGUUCGCCGUGUUUGAAUCACGCAUUUAACCUCACCGAUGAAAAAAACUAUGUAGAUACGUUGUCAACAGCUAGCCAAUCACUGUCAAGUAGUUUAGUUCGUUUUGAUAGCCUAUUGGCUUAGUUUUAUGUCAUUUUACAUCUUGUGAUUGCCCCGCCUCCGAUACUUCCGCGUUCAGCUCAUUCGCGGCUGUUCAAUGAAUAAACAUGUCGGACCAUACAUAUCGACAAGUCCGUUUUUCAGCUGCUGAGGUGGCAGAAAUGUGUUGUCAACACAUAAAUGAUGACAAUAGCAGUGAAGACAGUGAAAUAGGUGGCUUAUCUAGUGGAAAAGAGUACAAGUUGGACCGUGAACUGGAUGAAGACUUUCGUGACUCUGACUCCGACGACGACUAGCUGCUACGGCGACAACAACACAGAAAGCCUAAUGACAUUUAAACUCAACAUUCUCCUGGUUCUGCCACCGACUCAGAGGAGGAUGACCCUGACCCUUGAACCUGAAAGGACCAGAAGGAAUGCCAGAACGACCGUGCCCAGGGAGAGCUGCACAUCCAGUGAAUCAACCUGUUGUCCAGACAUAUAGCUAUGAUGAUCCAGACAUGCUCAACCAGUUGCCAUCUGUCCGUCCUGUACGCCAGCCUGGUGUUCACCUAGAUGUACAAGUAACACGAGGUACCAUGACCAAAGCCAUAGAUUUUUAAAAACUUUUACAGAUGCCCUCCUGCUACAAAUGCACCUACACAAAUGCUUAUGCUUGGGAGGAAAUCCUCAGAAAGCCCUAUUAUGGUGGUACAGAUGGUACAAGGAAAGAAACCAGUCCAGAUGAAUUGGCACGACUGAUGGCCCUUGUAAUGUUUUGUGGUCUUGUCCCAGUCAGUUCUUUUUACAGAUACUGGAGCCCCAAAACCAUGUACCAUGGCCUGUGGGCACGCAGCAUAAUGUCAAGAGACCGGUUCAAAGCAUUGAUGCCAAUGCUCCAUGUUGUAGAUACUGGUGCUGAAGAUGAGCGUGAUAAACUGUGCAAAAUCACUGGCCUGUUAGAGACUUUCAAGGUGACGUGUAGUAAAGCACUUUACCAACCAUUCCAGCAUGUUGCUGUGGAUGAAAGAAUCAAAACAUAGUUUAUGCUUCUAUACAAAACCCUGGGGAAUUUGUCACUGAUCAUAUUCCUUACUGGUACGGGUACUGUUUAUAGUGAUUGACAAGAGAUUAUUGUUUAUUGCACAUGAAAGCAGGAGGCACUUUCCAUUACCAUUGAUCUGACAUUGAGUGUUCAUUCACUAUUGAUUGUUUAUUGGAAAUGCACUUACCAAUGAAUUUACAUUUAUUGUUGACCAUAAAUAAGACAUUUUUUUAGAUUUUAUUGAUUGCCUGUUCAUAACAUGCUUUUUCAUCCUAAAUAAGAAGCACUUUUUUAGUUGAUGGUUGACUUUUUGUCCAUUGCUGCUUAUGUUUAUUGAUUGUUAUUUUUCGUGACUUGAUAAGUGCACUUCUUUAUUGAGUUACCACAUCUAAAAAAAAAAUGACUGAAGCAAUAUGAUUUGUAAUAAUU